UGGAAAUGUAAUUGCAGAUCUUUUGCUCCGGUAGCAGCUAUUUCUCUGACAUUUUCAUUCUGAUAUAUGUUUUUUUUUUGUUUUGUUUUUAAUUUACGAUCUUUGGCUUGUACAAAAUGCUAAAGAAACACCACCUAGUGUCGACACCGCUCAGUAGCUUCCUCCUUCAGCGCGCCUUGGAGGAGGGUCUGGCAAAGCGAGCCUACUCAGUAGCAGAAACACUGUAAAAAAGCUAGUACAAAUCCCAUCGUUUAUUCCCCUUUAUGAAUUGUCCUUUUUGGUUUUGAAUCCUAAAUGCUGUGAUACAUCACUAAGGUGAAACAGGACACAAAUGUAGCACUAAAUGUCAUGCACACUGAAUCCAGAUAGGUGUCAGAAUAUUCCUGCCUGCCCAUCCAGAGGUUUCCUUCUUGCCUGCGGUCAGAGACACCAAAACUAAUGAUAUCAAACUUUCAGUGAAAAUCCAUCAUUUCAACCCUGCUGCCCCCUCAAUUGACCAUCACACAUGUAUGCACGUUCUCUACACCGUGCAUCUCAUCACCCAUUGUGAGGAACUGAGGCACCAUCCCAGUCCACCCCAGCCUCUGCGUUAGGCCCCCCC